rnacentral:rRNA from 1 species
CAAGGCGACGAUCCCUAGCUGGUCUGAGAGGAUGACCAGCCACACUGGAACUGAGACACGGUCCAGACUCCUACGGGAGGCAGCAGUGGGGAAUAUUGCACAAUGGGCGCAAGCCUGAUGCAGCCAUGCCGCGUGUAUGAAGAAGGCCUUCGGGUUGUAAAGUACUUUCAGCGGGGAGGAAGGUGUUGUGGUUAAUAACCGCAGCAAUUGACGUUACCCGCAGAAGAAGCACCGGCUAACUCCGUGCCAGCAGCCGCGGUAAUACGGAGGGUGCAAGCGUUAAUCGGAAUUACUGGGCGUAAAGCGCACGCAGGCGGUCUGUCAAGUCGGAUGUGAAAUCCCCGGGCUCAACCUGGGAACUGCAUUCGAAACUGGCAGGCUUGAGUCUUGUAGAGGGGGGUAGAAUUCCAGGUGUAGCGG